rfam:Triticum urartu cultivar G1812 contig283360, whole genome shotgun sequence.
UUGUUACUCCCUUCGUCCGAAAAAGCUUGUUCCUCGAAUGAAUGUAUCUAGCACCAAGUUAGUGCUAGAUAUAUCCAUUUGAGGUACAAGUUUGAGACAAACUUUUCUGGACGGAGGGAGUAUGCA